rnacentral:rRNA from 1 species
UACGAAGGGGGCUAGCGUUGCUCGGAAUUACUGGGCGUAAAGGGCUCGUAGGCGGCCAACUAAGUCGGAUGUGAAAUCCCCAAGCUUAACUUGGGAACUGCAUCCGAUACAGGAUGGCUUGAGUCCGGGAGAGGGAUGCAGAAUUCCAGGUGUAGCGGUGAAAUGCGUAGAUAUCUGGAGGAAUACCGGUGGCGAAGGCGGCAUCCUGGACCGGCAUUGACGCUGAGGAGCGAAAGCUAGGGGAGCAAACGGG